AUCAUUUUAGUAUAUAUUUAGUAUUUUGUCUUGAUACGAUAAAGGUUUUAUGAUAU
rnacentral:tRNA from 1 species